AUUGAACGCUGGCGGCAGGCUUAACACAUGCAAGUCGAGCGAGUGGCGGACGGGUGAGUAAUGUCUGGGAAACUGCCUGAUGGAGGGGGAUAACUACUGGAAACGGUAGCUAAUACCGCAUACCAUCAGAUGUGCCCAGAUGGGAUUAGCUAGUAGGUGGGGUAAUGGCUCACCUAGGCGACGAUCCCUAGCGGGUCUGAGCGGAUGACCAGCCACACUGGAACGGGUACAGGUUCCAAACUCCUACGGGAGGAGGCAUGGGGGAAUUUGGCACAAGGGGGGCAAGCCUGUUGCGUCAAUGCGGGGUGUGGGAGAAAGGCCUUCGGGUGUAAAAGCACUUUCAGCGGGGGAGCGUUACUCAAAGAAGAAGCACCGGCUAACUCCGUGCCAGCAGCCGCGGUAAUUC
rnacentral:rRNA from 1 species